rnacentral:rRNA from 1 species
UACGUAGGCAGCGAGCGUUGUUCGGAAUUACUGGGCGUAAAGAGUGUGUAGGCGGCGCUCUAAGUUCGGUGUGAAAUCUCUCGGCUUAACUGGGAGGGUGCGCCGGAAACUGGAGUGCUCGAACGUGGGAGAGGAAAGCGGAAUUCCUGGUGUAGCGGUGAAAUGCGUAGAUAUCAGGAGGAACACCUGUGGCGAAAGCGGCGCACUGGACCACUUCUGACGCUGAGGCGCGAAAGCUAGGGGAGCAAACAGG